rnacentral:rRNA from 1 species
GGGGAAUAUUGCACAAUGGGCGAAAGCCUGAUGCAGCGACGCCGCGUGCGGGAUGAAGGCCUUCGGGUUGUAAACCGCUUUUGAUUGGGAGCAAGCGAGAGUGAGUGUACCUUUCGAAUAAGCACCGGCUAACUACGUGCCAGCAGCCGCGGUAAUACGUAGGGUGCAAGCGUUAUCCGGAAUUAUUGGGCGUAAAGAGCUCGUAGGCGGUUUGUCGCGUCUGGUGUGAAAGUCCAUCGCUUAACGGUGGAUCUGCGCCGGGUACGGGCAGGCUAGAGUGCGACAGGGGAGACUGGAAUUCCCGGUGUAACGGUGGAAUGUGUAGAUAUCGGGAAGAACACCAAUGGCGAAGGCAGGUCUCUGGGUCGUCACUGACGCUGAGGAGCGAAAGCGUGGGGAGCGAACAGGAUUAGAUACCCUGGUAGUCCACGCCGUAAACGGUGGAUGCUGGAUGUGGGGCCCAUUCCACGGGUUCCGUGUCGGAGCUAACGCGUUAAGCAUC